rnacentral:rRNA from 1 species
GAUGAACGCUGGCGGCGUGCCUAAUGCAUGCAAGUCGAGCGAACAGACGAGGAGCUUGCUCCUCUGACGUUAGCGGCGGACGGGUGAGUAACACGUGGAUAACCUACCUAUAAGACUGGGAUAACUUCGGGAAACCGGAGCUAAUACCGGAUAAUAUAUUGAACCGCAUGGUUCAAUAGUGAAAGACGGUUUUGCUGUCACUUAUAGAUGGAUCCGCGCCGCAUUAGCUAGUUGGUAAGGUAACGGCUUACCAAGGCAACGAUGCGUAGACGACCUGAGAGGGUGAUAGGCCACAUUGGAACUGAGACAGGGUCCAGAGUACUACGGGGGGCAGCAGUAGGGAAUCUUCCGCAAUGGGCGAAAGCCUGACGGAGCAACGCCGCGUGAGUGAUGAAGGUCUUCGGAUCGUAAAGCUCUGUUAUUAGGGAAGAACAGAUGUGUAAGUAACUAUGCACGGCUUGACGGUACCUAAUCAGAAAGCCACGGCUAACUACGUG